CGCGGGAGAGCGUGGGGGUGGCCCGGCCAUCAUCCGCCGCCGAAGGAGCAACCGCCCCGGAAACUCUCAGGCAAACGGACCGCGCGG
rnacentral:ncRNA from 1 species